rnacentral:rRNA from 1 species
AGUCGAACGCUUCUUUUUCCACCGGAGCUUGCUCCACCGGAAAAAGAAGAGUGGCGAACGGGUGAGUAACACGUGGGUAACCUGCCCAUCAGAAGGGGAUAACACUUGGAAACAGGUGCUAAUACCGUAUAACAAUCAAAACCGCAUGGUUUUGAUUUGAAAGGCGCUUUCGGGUGUCGCUGAUGGAUGGACCCGCGGUGCAUUAGCUAGUUGGUGAGGUAACGGCUCACCAAGGCCACGAUGCAUAGCCGACCUGAGAGGGUGAUCGGCCACAUUGGGACUGAGACACGGCCCAAACUCCUACGGGAGGCAGCAGUAGGGAAUCUUCGGCAAUGGACGAAAGUCUGACCGAGCAACGCCGCGUGAGUGAAGAAGGUUUUCGGAUCGUAAAACUCUGUUGUUAGAGAAGAACAAGGAUGAGAGUAACUGUUCAUCCCUUGACGGUAUCUAACCAGAAAGCCACGGCUAACUACGUGCCAGCAGCCGCGGUAAUACGUAGGUGGCAAGCGUUGUCCGGAUUUAUUGGGCGUAAAGCGAGCGCAGGCGGUUUCUUAAGUCUGAUGUGAAAGCCCCCGGCUCAACCGGGGAGGGUCAUUGGAAACUGGGAGACUUGAGUGCAGAAGAGGAGAGUGGAAUUCCAUGUGUAGCGGUGAAAUGCGUAGAUAUAUGGAGGAACACCAGUGGCGAAGGCGGCUCUCUGGUCUGUAACUGACGCUGAGGCUCGAAAGCGUGGGGAGCAAACAGGAUUAGAUACCCUGGUAGUCCACGCCGUAAACGAUGAGUGCUAAGUGUUGGAGGGUUUCCGCCCUUCAGUGCUGCAGCUAACGCAUUAAGCACUCCGCCUGGGGAGUACGACCGCAAGGUUGAAACUCAAAGGAAUUGACGGGGGCCCGCACAAGCGG